UACGUAGGGGGCUAGCGUUGUCCGGAAUCAUUGGGCGUAAAGAGCGUGUAGGCGGCUUUACAGGUCCGUUGUGAAAACUCGAGGCUCAACCUCGAGACGCCGGUGGAAACCGUAAGGCUAGAGUCCGGAAGAGGAGAGUGGAAUUCCUGGUGUAGCGGUGAAAUGCGCAGAUAUCAGGAAGAACACCCGUGGCGAAGGCGGCUCUCUGGGACGGUACUGACGCUGAGACGCGAAAGCGUGGGGAGCGAACAGG
rnacentral:rRNA from 1 species